rnacentral:rRNA from 1 species
UACGGAGGGGGCUAGCGUUGUUCGGAAUUACUGGGCGUAAAGCGCACGUAGGCGGCUUCGCAAGUCAGAGGUGAAAGCCCGGGGCUCAACCCCGGAACUGCCUUUGAGACUGCGUCGCUCGAAUCCGGGAGAGGCGGGUGGAAUUCCGGGUGUAGAGGUGGAAUUCGUAGAUACUCGGAGGAACACCAGUGGCGAAGGCGGCCCGCUGGACCGGCAUUGACGCUGAGGUGCGAAAGCGUGGGGAGCAAACAGG